CCUGGUGAUAUUGGAGAGGGGGAAAUACCCGUUCCCAUCCCGAACACGGAAGUCAAGACCCUCAUCGCCGAUGGUACUAUAUGGUUCGCUGUAUGGGAGAGUAGGGCGUUGCCAGGA
rnacentral:rRNA from 1 species